AAGACUAUAGACCUGCGGAGUACCUGCGGAGGGAUCAUUAAUGAGAAACUGCCCCUCGCGGGUAGAUCUCCCACCCUUUGUAAACUUACCUUUGUUGCUUUGGCAGGCCCGUCUCCGGACCGCCGGCUUCGGCUGGCCAGUGCCUGCCAGAGGAUUCUAAAACUCUGUCUGUCAGUGUUGUCUGAGUCUAUAUACAAUCGUUAAAACUUUCAGCAACGGAUCUCUAGAUCGGAAGAGCAC
rnacentral:misc_RNA from 1 species